rnacentral:rRNA from 1 species
UACGUAGGGGGCAAGCGUUGUCCGGAAUUAUUGGGCGUAAAGAGCGUGUAGGCGGUCCGGUAAGUCAGCUGUGAAAGUCAAGGGCUCAACCCUUGGAAAGCCGGUUCGAUACUGUCGGGCUAGAGUCCGGAAGAGGCGAGUGGAAUUCCCGGUGUAGCGGUGAAAUGCGCAGAUAUUGGGAAGAACACCAGUGGCGAAGGCGGCUAUCUGGACCGGUACUGACGCUGAGGUGCGAAAGCGUGGGGAGCAAACAGG